GAGAGAGACAGAGAGAGAGAGACAGGAGACCGCACAAGAGGCAUGUUGGACACAAAGCAGACACAGGGCUGAGGAUCUAGGCAAAGUACAUCAUGGUUCUACAGUCAGUCUAGGUGUUGCUGUCGUGUCGUCAGGUGUUGCUGUCGUGUCGUCAGGUGUUGCUGUCGUGUCGUCAGGUGUUGCUGUCGUGUCGUCAGGUGUUGCUGCCGUGUCGUCAGGUGUUGCUGUCGUGUCGUCAGGUGCUGCUGUCGUGUCGUCAGGUGUUGCUGUCGUGUCGUCAGGUGUUGCUGUCGUGUCGUCAGGUGUUGCUGUCGCGUCGUCAGGUGUUGCUGUCGCGUGUGUGUUAUAGUUUUAAAUAACUAUUUCUAUAUUCCCAGACCCCGUCCCCGCAGGAGGCCGUCAUUGUAAAUGAGAAUUUGUUCUUAACUCGACUUUAGUUCAAAUAACAAGUUAAAUAAAUAAAAAAAUGCAAGAAAGGUGAGUUAUAUACACAGGACAGUUUAUUAGGUACACCGUCCCAUCCACCACAAUGGAUCGCUCCUCCAGACAGUGAGUCACGUGGUCGUAGCUUGUUAUAUAAAGCAGACAGACAUCGAGGCAUUCAGUUACUGGUCCAUCAGACGUUAGAACGGGGAAAAAAACGAGCGACCUUGAGCGUGGUACGAUCGUCGGUGCCGGGCGCUCCAGUAUCUCAGAAACGUCUGGACUUCCUGGGACUUUCACACGUCUGAGUGUCUGAGGGUUUACAGAGAACGACUAACACCCAGUCAGCAGUCCUGUGGGUGGAGACUGCUCGUUGAGGAGAGAACGACUAACACCCAGUCAGCUGUCCUGUGGGUGGAGACUGCUCGUUGAGGAGAGAACGACUAACACCCAGUCAGCUGUCCUGUGGGUGGAGACUGCUCAUUGAGGAGAGAACGACUAACACCCAGUCCUGUGGGUGGAGACUGCUCGUUGAGGAGAGAACGACUAACACCCAGUCAGCUGUCCUGUGGGUGGAGACUGCUCGUUGAGGAGAGAACGACUAACACCCAGUCAG